rnacentral:rRNA from 1 species
GACGAACGCUGGCGGCGUGCUUAACACAUGCAAGUCGAACGGGCUCUGUCUGGCUGUGUGCUGGGUGGGGUUAGUGGCGAACGGGUGAGUAAUACGUGAGUAACCUGCCCUCUUCUUUGGGAUAAGCCUUGGAAACGGGGUCUAAUACUGGAUAUUCCUGUCUGGUCGCAUGGCUGGGUGGGGAAAGUUUUUUUCGGUGGGGGAUGGGCUCGCGGCCUAUCAGCUUGUUGGUGGGGUGAUGGCCUACCAAGGCGUCGACGGGUAGCCGGCCUGAGAGGGUGACCGGCCACACUGGGACUGCGAUACGGCCCAGACUCCUACGGGAGGCAGCAGUGGGGGAUAUUGCACAAUGGGCGCAAGCCUGAUGCAGCGACGCCGCGUGGGGGAUGCCGGCUUUCGGGUUGUAAACCUCUUUCGUCGGGGGACAAGGCUCUGCUUGGUGGUGGGGUUGAGGGUACCCGGUGAAGAAGCGCCGGCUAACUACGUG